CGAGAAACUCCUGAGGUGAUCCUGAAAGAGCCCUGUGAAGUUUCUGCUGUCAAAAGACUCCACAAGUGAGGGUUUGCUGUUCCUAAAGCUAUGCCUUUUCCAGCUCCAGGGAUGGGAACAAAGUGACCACCCUUUGCUGAGUCACUUUUUUAAAAUUGUACUUCUUUCUUAAUCCCAAAUUUAUUCUCUUUUGUUGUGCAAGAACCCUCUCUGCUCUCUUUCUUAGGAGUGUCUCCAUCCUAAGUUGCUUCCUUAGGUCCUCCACACUCGCCCUGUCAUGACUAGCCCCUAGCACACUGGUCCCUGGAUCACCUUCCCCUGUCAAAGUGGCUUCUUCAGUGGCAGCCUCUGACUGACUGGUCCCUGGAAGUCCGCUGACCUCUCCUUCAUCCUCUAUCUGCAUACUGCCUCCUGGUACUUCCCUAUCAUUUUCAGAUUCUGCCUCAAUUUCUCCCUCAUUCUCUGUAAUAAUAACAACAAGGUGCUGCCUUUACAUUAGCACCUACUUUCAUCUCCUGUUUAAGGGUACACUACACUCCAAUUAAACAAAACUGUAUCUUUAUGUGAAACAAAUCAUCUGCCACACUCCUGGACUAACAACAUGUACAUAAAGUUUAUUUUUUUUUAGCAAUAGAUGAAGAUGCCUGUAGAUUAUCCAUGACAUUGCCCGGUUCACUCUGCAAUGAAUUAUUCCACAAGCAGGAAAUAGGAUCCAGCCAAUCCACUGCAAAUCAAUUUCCUUGUAAUAAAGUCAACUUACUUUUACACCAGAUACGCCUCUUUUUUAAAUUGUUCCUGUUCCGGGA